rnacentral:piRNA from 1 species
UAAUGCUCUUAUUACUACUGAUCAUUAGAAGU